GAUGAACGCUAGCUACAGGCUUAACACAUGCAAGUCGAGGGGAAACGACAUCGAAAGCUUGCUUUUGAUGGGCGUCGACCGGCGCACGGGUGAGUAACGCGUAUCCAACCUGCCCAUCACUUGGGAAUAACCUUGCGAAAGUAAGACUAAUACCCAAUGAUAUCCCACGAAGGCAUCGGAAUGGGAUUAAAGAUUUAUCGGUGAUGGAUGGGGAUGCGUCUGAUUAGCUUGUUGGCGAGGUAACGGCCCACCAAGGCAACGAUCAGUAGGGGUUCUGAGAGGAAGGUCCCCCACAUUGGAACUGAGACACGGUCCAAACUCCUACGGGAGGCAGCAGUGAGGAAUAUUGGUCAAUGGGCGAGAGCCUGAACCAGCCAAGUAGCGUGCAGGAAGACGGCCCUAUGGGUGGUAAACUGCUUUUAUAAGGGAAUAAAGUGGGUCACGUGUGACUUUUUGCAUGUACCUUAUGAAUAAGGACCGGCUAAUUCCGUG
rnacentral:rRNA from 1 species